rnacentral:rRNA from 1 species
AGUCAACGCUGGCGGUAGGCCUAACACAUGCCAGUCGAACGGCAGCACAGUAAGAGCUUGCUCUUACGGGUGGCGAGUGGCGGACGGGUGAGGAAUACAUCGGAAUCUACUUUUUCGUGGGGGAUAACGUUGGGAAACUUACGCUAAUACCGCAUACGACCUACGGGUGAAAGCAGGGGAUCUUCGGACCUUGCGCGAUUGAAUGAGCCGAUGUCGGAUUAGCUAGUUGGCGGGGUAAAGGCCCACCAAGGCGACGAUCCGUAGCUGGUCUGAGAGGAUGAUCAGCCACACUGGAACUGAGACACGGUCCAGACUCCUACGGGAGGCAGCAGUGGGGAAUAUUGGACAAUGGGCGCAAGCCUGAUCCAGCCAUACCGCGUGGGUGAAGAAGGCCUUCGGGUUGUAAAGCCCUUUUGUUGGGAAAGAAAAGCAGCAGGUUAAUACCCCGCUGUUCUGACGGUACCCAAAGAAUAAGCACCGGCUAACUUCGUG